GUGGCCGCUGGGAGCGGUGCUGUUGCUAGGCACCCGUCUCGGUUGCUAGGGGUGGGUCUCCGGCCGAUGCUAACGCACCCCCGCCUCUACCUCCGCACCCCUGGGCUUAUAUUCGGGCGCUGCCGGGGUCCCGGCUCCGGCUGCAGGAUGGCGGGCGCUGAGGCCGCGCUGCUGCCUUACCCGGUUCUCCUGUGCGCUCUGCUGGCGGUCGGGCUCCAGACACCGGUGGCAGGAAGGACUCUGAGAUUCGUCAACCUGGUUUAUCGUCAUGGUGAUCGAUCUCCUGUCAGAAGAUACCCAAAAGAUCCAAUUACGGAGAAGGAUUGGCCCCAAGGUUUUGGGCAGCUUACCCAGGUUGGGAUGAGGCAGCACUACGCACUGGGCCAGUAUCUGCGAAAUCGCUACCGCGGCUUCCUCAGCUCCUCUUAUGACGGACGUGAGAUUUAUGUUCGGAGCACAGAUUUUGACCGGACUCUGAUGAGUGCUGAGUCGAACCUCGCCGGUCUGUACCCUCCGCAAGGACGUCAGAUCUUCCGUCCUGGCCUGAGGUGGCAACCGAUUCCUGUGCAUACGAUGCCUGUGGAACAGGACAAGCUCCUUCUAUACCCAAUGAAGGAUUGUCCUCGCUACACAAAAUUGAUUGCGGAGACGGAGGAUACUGAUGAAUACAUAAAGAUGGUGAAGCUAAACAAGAACUUUCUGGCCAUGCUGUCUAACGCCACUGGGGUUCCCAGGGACCAGAUGUCAUUCAAAUACGUUUGGUUGAUUUACGACACCCUGUUAUGUGAGCAACUUCACAACAAAACCGUGCCUUCCUGGGUGACGUCCUCAGUCAUGGAGCGCAUGCGAACACUGAAGGAGUUCAGCAUCGACGUUGAUUACAGACUGUACAAGCGAGAAGAGAAAUCGCGGCUCCAGGGAGGUGUGCUCCUGAAACAAAUUCUCCAAAAUAUUGAACAGUCGCGGAACACAUCUCCCACACCAAGUCCCAAGCUGAUGGUGUACUCGGCGCAUGACACAACGAUUGUAGCUCUUCAAAUGGCUCUGAGUGUUUACAGCCUUGCUCCCACUUAUGCUGCCUGCCACAUCGUCGAGCUGUACCUGGAGGACGACGGGUCCUUCACUGUGGAGAUGUACUACAGGAAUGAAAGUUCUUCUGCACCAUAUCCCCUCACUAUCCCAGCCUGCACCCAAAGGUGUCCCUUGGACAAGUUCAUCCAGAUCGCCAAAAGAGUGAUACCUGAUGACUGGGAUGAGGAAUGUGGCCGUACCGGUAACCACGUCCCAAUAGACUGCUGGUUCAGUGAUUUGUACACAUCAAGUCUGGCCAAUGUGUGUACUGGUUUGUACCACUGGAUGUGUUGGGAGACUUAGACUUGGGACACUGUGGUCAGCAUGGACUGGUUGGGUCAAAGGGCCUGCAUCCCUGCUGUUUUGCUCUGACUCGCAACCAAACGGCUAGGAAGGAAAGUGAAGUUGCUGGAUGUCAUUUAAAAAAAACAAAAUGACUUUUUAGUGAUCCUUACCCAGUCUGGUCUAGAUGUGUCUCCAGCGUGAGCUACACUGAGGUGGUUUAACCAGCUGCCUGGUGUACGAAUUAAAAGACAGCUCACUACUGCCGCCUUUAAGGUCAGGAUCUAAUUUCUGAACUUGUUGGCAAUUUUCUGACGAAAGUGAAGGUUUAAAAGCAGCUUAUUUAUCUGGACACCUGCAUAUUCCCCAAGGCUUGUAUUGGUGGGAAUCUAGAGUGAAAAUAUUUGUAGAAGAAGAUUUUUAACACUUGUAUAACUGGAUAUCAGAAAAUUGGAGCAACUUGAUGGGAAGCCAUUAUGACGUCCUUCCUGCUGUCAUUGUUCUAUAUUGCUGCCCUUUCAGAAUUAAACCUAUAAUUUCAUCAGACAAUCUCAAUAACAACAAUCACACGGAGGUCAGUUCAUCCUUUGGAAGGGACGGGUCCUCCACAACACAGGACAAAAUUGGAAAAUUCGAGUGCACGUCUUUUUCAUACACAGGAUGGCGGAAGUGUACAAUUCUCCUUCCCCCCAUAGCUGGUGGACACUGCAGAUAAUUGGAGCUUCCAAGAGCAAAGAGGAUUGAGUACAGGUAACUGAGGGAGAGAGGGCAACACAAAUUCAAAGCACAACUCACCCAAGGUCUGGCUGACCGGAGGACAGGCACCUUCCAAUUCUGGUUAUUGACUGCGGGGCUUUUAUUUCUGCUGCACUUUUGAAUCAUUUCUAUCGCAAGUUAAAUUCAAUGAGCUUGCGAUCGUCUCGGCAUUUUAUAUUUUUUUUGGAAAUAAACAUUGCUUUUCUCGG